GCAGCCACUCAUUCAAAGAGUGCGUAAUAGCUCACUGGUCGAGUGAUCCUGCGCCGAAGAUUUCCGGGGCUAAAACUUACUACCGAAGCUACGGCAUCAGUAAUGAUGGGUAGGGGAGCUUCCCAUAUGGGUUGAAGCAUGACCGUAAGGACAUGUGGACAGUAUGGGAGUGAGAAUGUUGGCAUGAGUAGCGAGAUGUGGGUGAGAAUCCCACAGGCCGUAAACCCAAGGUUUCCAGGGGAAGGUUCGUCCGCCCUGGGUUAGUCGGGACCUAAGCUGAGGCCGAAAGGCGUAGGUGAUGGACAACAGGUUGAUAUUCCUGUACUACCGAUAACCGUUUGAGAGAAGGGAUGACACAGUAGGAUAAGCUAAGCACACUGUUGGUUAU
rnacentral:rRNA from 1 species